UUUAUACGACUCUUCGUUUUAUUUGAAAUUUUAUGCGAUUAAUAUUUUUAUUCUUACUGGAUGAUAAAAUAUAAAUAUUACUUUAUGCGUGACUAAUUUUUUAAAUUUUUUAUACAAAUUUUUCAAAUAAGACGAAUAGUCAAACGUUAGACACGAAAA
rnacentral:pre_miRNA from 1 species